rnacentral:lncRNA from 10 species
AGAUUGGGUGGUUUCAACAGGAACGCAUCCACUGUCUGAGAGUUUAAACUUGAUUUUGUGAGGGGACGAACAGCGUGACAAUUAAAAGAAGAUCUGGGAAUCAAAAGCUUCCUGAGGCCUUCACCAGAAGCAGAUGCUGGUGCCGUGCUUCUACAGCCUGCAGAACUGAAUACCCAUCUCGAGUUCUGGAUAUGUGCUCUGAGAAGGUGCCCAUGUCACCGACCACACUGGAGGCCAAUGCAGAUACUGGGGGAAGGUUCCAUGGUAGCUAAGUGUGGACAAGCUAAUCACUGAAGUUCCCUGAUGCAGAGUUGAUAAUCUCUCUAGAGUUGGAUGAAAGACUGUGCUGCCUUGAAGCUCUGAGAGAUGCCAUGCCAAUUCAAGGCAGGGUCUUUAUUGUUGAAACUCUUGCGUAAUGACAUCUUUAUUCAGGUGAAAAUACAGGAUGAAUUUCAACUAUAUGAUAUUGUUUAUGUUCCUCAGACAUGUUAUUUGUCUUUACAAAGAUUGGUUUCAAUAAACUGUGUGACUGAUAUUAAAUAAACAUGGAAUUUUACACAUUCA